UACGUAGGGACCAAGCGUUGUUCGGAUUUACUGGGCGUAAAGGGCGCGUAGGCGGCAUGACAAGUCACUUGUGAAAUCUCCGGGCUUAACUCGGAACGGCCAAGUGAAACUGUCAAGCUAGAGUGCAGAAGGGGCAAUCGGAAUUCUUGGUGUAGCGGUGAAAUGCGCAGAUAUCGGGAGGAACACCAAUUGCGAAGGCAGCUCGCUGGGACGUCACUGACGCUGAGACGCGAAAGCGUGGGGAGCAAACAGG
rnacentral:rRNA from 1 species